ACUGCUGAUUGAAUACUUAUUCAAAUGAUAACAUUAGGUCUAACUUCAAUAAGCACACCUUUUAAAAAUAUUGAAGGUUUCUAACAAUUUUUUUGUAAAAUAUGAAAUUCUUCCCAACAAAUAGAAUUGUAAAUCACUGAUUUGCAGCUGAACGUUGAAGAUUUUUGUAUUAUUUGUCCACAAAAGUUUCAUCCUUAAGUGAUACAAAAACGGACUUCUUCCAAGCAUUGAUGAAAGUGUUCCCACAGCCUGAUGCAACCUCCACCAUGCCCUCUAAAAGCCUGCAGACAGUUUGUCAAAAAUGUAGCUUCUUUACAAUUGUUUAAUUCAUAAAAUACAUUUCUUAUUUUAUUAACAAGAAACGUAGUAAAUAUGUGUUGACAUAAAUGUGUUUUGAACUCUCAGAUGUUUGCAACCAAACAUGAAUGUUUGAAGCUGGAACGGAUGCAGGUUUGAUUUUUAUCAUUUACAGUAAAGCGUGAAGCUCUUGUGCUGUUUGUAUCUCAGAGGAACAAAAGCUGGACGUCCCUCAGGCCUGAAGCUCAGGUCAGCUGAUCGACUGAAGCUGCUGACGCGGCAGUUUCCAGCAGUCUGUGUGUGUGUGCAUGUGUGGGUACAUGCGUGUGCGUGUAGCAGCUCGGUCAUGUGAACAGCGAGCUCUCAAAUUGGAUUGAGCUAAUUUCCUAAUGGUGUAAGGAUUGUCUGGAUCCCAGAGGAACUCCAUGAUGUCCACAGAUUAGAGUUAAUGAUGAUCAGUAAACUGUCCUGAUGCCAUUCUUCUGAAACAAACAGAGCUGAAGGUAAACUCCCAGAAGCUGAAGCUGUCUGCAGCCUCACUUCCUGUUCUUCUUUCUUUUGUUCUCCAUCCUUCAUUCACGUCAUUAGACCUUAAAUGAUAAAUAAAACUGUUUUCUCAAUCAUCUGACAUCACCUCUCCGACCUCGUCCUCUCAUGUUCUCUACAGUUCCAUGUUUGUUCAGCUCAACUCUUCCUCGCUCCUCCACCUUCUUUUCCGCUCCGGAGGUUCUUUCUUACCGGAAUAUUCCCUCUGGCUGGCUCCAGAACCCAUCGAGCUGCCGUCAGCUGCUGCAGAACUCUGUCAUGUCCGCAGAUAUGAAGCUGACGUCCGUCUGCGUCUCCGUCCCAUCUCUGUCCCGCUGGCUGUCCGACUGAGGGACGGUAAUCCGGGGAAGUUGCUUAUGGCAACAGUACAGGAUCCUGGAACUUUGUUCCACCUUCCAACAGCGUGCAGACGCUUCUUCACCUCCUUCACUUUCUGCUGUUCUGAGCCUGAACUCCUCCUCCUCCUCCUCACUGCUCCUCAUCUGAUCUCCUCCUCCUCCUCCUCACUCCUCCUCUUCACUGCUCCUCAUCUGAUCUCCUCCUCCUCCUUUUCAGAGCAGAGCUCCACCCCUCCAGAUGUUCCUCCCUCCCCUCGCCGUCUUUGGAGCAAAUUAAUCAAAAUAAGUUCAACUAAAAUGAAUAGAAUAGAAUAUUUUGAAGGAAAAGGAUAAAAUAAACUUUAUUAGCUGUUUAUUCCAAAACUAUGAAGGAAUCAAGAAACAAAAACAGAAAACCUCAACUGGAUCAGGAUGAAUCUGGAAACAGGAAGUUAGAGAAGUGCAGACAUGGAGCUGGUUCUGGAGCAGAAGAACUUUCACAGAACAAAAACUCUUUUUCAUAACUACAGCUGCUGCUCAUUCAUCUCUCUCCGGGUCGGAUCGGGUCGGGUCGGGUCAGGUCAGGUCGGGUCGGGUCACAGCGAGUUGGCCCACUGCCGGAGAUACUCCAGGUCCUCUUCGAUGUCCUCCUCCUCCUCCAGCCUGGCUGUAAGGAACAAACCAGAGAAACACUGAGCAGACGAUGGCGGCGGUUGUUGGCUCCGCCCACAAGCUGCGAGGUUCUCACCGUGAUGGGAUGGAGACGCAGCCAGAACCUCCUCCUCCUCCAGACUCUGCUCCAGCUUCUCCAGCUCCGCCAGGAGGACGCUCUGCAGGAGAUAUCAUGAAGGUUCAGACAGCGAUGAUGAACAGAUCUAUGAAUAAUGCUUUCAGUUCAGGAACUUCAUGAUUUCUCUCUAAAACUGCUUGAUGUGUUCAUACUUCAUAUCCAUGUUUUAGUGCAUCAGCUUCUUUGUAAAAACAUAGUUUUCAUUAUAUUUCAUAAUAAAUCAGGACAAGUUGUACAAAAAACUCAAUUCUGAGGAACACAUUUAGACAGAAAUUGAGAUCAAUACAUUUUUCUAUGUUACACAAAAAUCAAACAUGUAGACAAAAUAUAAAGAAUAAAUCCACAAAACAAAGGAAAGUCAAAACAUCUAAACAGACGUUGAAGUUCCACUGAAGCAGAAUUCUCCAAGGAUUUGUUCAUCAGAAUCGUGUCUGAAACUGAAGAACCUCUCGAUCAUUUUAAUGAAAGUGAUAUUAAUCAAUCAAUCAAUCAAUAAUACCAUGAAAUGAACUAAUAUUUCUGUAAUGAGUCGGAAAUAUUUAUGUUUUUUAUGUAUUUUUUACAAUCUAUGCUUGAAAUAAACCAAUCAAUCAAUCAAUCAAUCAAUCGAUCAAUCAAUCAAUCAAUCAAUCAAUCAGUCAAUGGGGGUCGGCAUCAUUCCGUUUGUAAACAGCUGGUGAAUCCUGAGAGGUUCAAUAAUCCUUAAAUCUCCAUCAAACUGCUUCAGCUGAAGCUGUCAUGUCAGUCUUAGACACCAACUAUCCUCGUCUCUUCAGGGGUUCCUCUGAGCUCCGUUUAGGUACCUCUUCUACCUGCUUCUGCUUUCUUCCAUUAUAAGGAAGUAAAUGUGUUUUUCCUCGUUUAUGAACGACUGCUGAAUCUGAGUUUCAUUAAAAAAAUGUUUUGAGAUCAUCAAACCGUGAACUCCUCAAACCUCGUGGACAGAAGAGGUUUUCUUUACUUUCUGAUCCAUCAAACCCUCAAUAACAAAUGAAGGAGUCAGAACCAAAUUAUAUUCAGUCAUAAAGUUGAGUUUUUCUCUCCUUUGAGGCCACAAUAAACCCUGUUCUUUAUUGAAAGAGUAAUGAUGGAUGUUUUCAGUCUCUUAGUGUUUGCAUUUAAAGGACUGGAGAGAUGAUUCUCACUUCAGAAGAAUUUAAGAAUUCUCUGAUCAUCAAACCCCAUCGGCUCCAGAACGAUCCAUUUAGAAUCUACCUGUAAGCAUAAAGCAGACGUGAUUCAUGUUUUUCACCGCUUGUUCAACAGGAGAGCGUCCUUCAUCACCUCGUCAAACUCCUCCUCCUCCUCCUAGUUUACAGGUGAGUAGAGGCCGUCGGAUCCGUCAGGAGCGGCGUCCUCCGUCUGCAGGCUGUCCUUUAUCAGCUCAUUCAUUCUGUUGAUGAGUUCACUGUAAACAAAUGGUCAUGUCAACUCCACAGAGACAUGUUAAUGACAUGCUAAUGACAUGCUAAUGACAUGCUAGCGUUCUCUGAUCACCUCUGAUUAUGUGUGGUACCUCAUUUUUCAGUACAAAUGGUACAGUUGGACUAAGCAGAACUUAAUACCUUAAAGUCCUCCUCCAAUGAAAAUCCUGUGAUUAUAAAGACUUUCUGAGAUCCAUCAGGAUCUGUGAGACACUUUGUUCUGCAUUUAUAGAAGCUUUAGCUUCAGGAGAUCUCUGGCGUGAACAUUUUCCUCCUUACGUGUGUUCUUGAGCAGAUCUCAUGGCCUUGAAAGCCCCGCUGAAGCCUUCCAGGUGAUUCUGGGAGCUCCGCCUCCUUUUGAACACCUGCAGGACCGCUGGAUUCACCGCAUGGGACACAGAGAAGAUUUCUGAAUGCAGGGCAGGUUUAUUUGCAUUACAUUUACAUCCGUCUACCUAAAACUACCCUGAACUUGUGUUAACAGAACUGAUCCAGCCUGUUGACUUAGUAGUACAGUCGAAUUUGAUAGGAUAAAAACUAAAUAACAUUAACAAGUACAUUUAACUGUAAAACGCAGAAUUUAGAUUUAAAACAUUUAAGGCAAUAAUCCAAAAGUAUUUUUAAUACAUUUGAAAAAUAAAAAAAAAAAUCAUCUCAGAAAUCCUAAAAGGCUUUAGUUAAAAUUGAUUCGCUUGGCUUUUUAAACUAGGAUCCUAAAUGUUAUUUAAAAUAUUUUCUUUAACAGUUUGCAUUUUUAUAAUAUGUAAGUUGAUCUUUUAACAACCAUUUCUGGAUCAUAAAUGUCGUUAGUUAGCUAGCAGUUAACUAGUUAGCUAGCAGUUAAAUAACUAGCUAGCAGUUAGCUAGCUAGCAGUUAACUAGCUAGCAGUUAACUAGCUAGCUAGCUUUCCGUCGGGACGAUUUUUCAACAUUUUUGUCAGAAUUUCAAAAGUGAAUUUCUGUCUCACCUCUCCUGUUAAUCCUGCGCUCUUUCUUUGCCCACCAGAGUUCCGCUUUAAUCCUGUUUAGCGCCAGUUGCGUGUUUUUCACCCGCAGCGCGCGCGCCUGCUCGGAGGCCGCGCGCGCGCGCCUUUUCCCGCUUUUCCUCCUCUGGCAGCUCGACAUUCCCGCCGAACAUCCGCGGAAGCUCCGCCGUCACUGAGGCGUUCUUUAACGGAAGACACGGUUCUGUCCGUUACUCUUUACGUUUGUAAUAAAAUUUACAUCAAAGUUUGAGCCGAAAUUUGAUUUCUAUUUCGCUGAAAAGAAAAACGCUUUGAUGAUUUCUGAGCGGAAAUAAAAAUAUUUAAAAAAAAAGAAAAGAAAAGAAACUUUAAAAUCUGCAGAUAACUGCAAUGGUUGAAAUGUUCUGGAAUGCUUAAAACUGUUGAUGAUGAUGAUUAUUAGUGAUAGCAUCAUUAGCUCUGGCUCAUGCUUAUAGCGCGUGUUUCCGGUUAGUCCUCCACAAUAAAAGCAUAGACGUAGAAUAGAUUCUGUCUCUUUCAAAUAAAAGUUUCUUUGCAAAUGAAAAUAAAUGAGCUUCAAAUGACAUAUUGAUGAAUAUUCUCAUGAAUGUAGGUUGUUUUGGUGUUGAGUCGUGGUCUCUGCUCUUCACCACUCAUCCUCUUCAUCAGGCUGAUGAAGCCACACAGUUUUAACUUAUUUGUUCACAGAUUUGAUCCUUUUUGUGUCAUUUCAGCUAUGAAUGUUAUCUCUGCUCAGCAUAUGGAGGAAACAGAUGUUGACAUGUUGGCUCCUGGAGGACCUCCAGGUGACCUUUCUCAACACUUUACCUGAAGAAAACUUCAGAGCUGCAUCAGGAAGAUCAACCAUGAAAAGGUGAGACGCUCCACAUUCAUGUUCAGAGAAACCAAGAGAUCUGAUCAGAAAUCAAAAGAUGACUCAGCGAAAGGAAAAAGGUUUCUCUGCUCUCCUGAGUUUUCUACGUUCUCAGUCGUUCUCCUCAGAAAUAAAUCCGUUUAUUCCUUCAGUACAAACACAAUCCGUCACAGAUUAUUCAAUUCAGCAGAAAUCAAUUCACAAAUGUUAAGGAACAAAUAAGAAAUAUAAUGAUAUUAAUAUGUAUGUUUACUUUUGAGUGUGAGUGUCGACGGACGCUGAGGUCAGAGAACACAGAGAGGAUGAGGAAGAGGCCGUCCCACUCCUCCACCAGAAGCUCUGGUUUUCCUGGACUUCCAGCCAUCUUCACUCACUAACAUCCUCGACCAUUUCAAAUCAGGAACUAUGAAAAGUUGAGUGCAACGCCUACAGAGCCAACGACAGAGCAGUGUCACUUUACAGAUUAAAAAUGAAGACUCUGGAGAACACAGAUACAGAUUUAAACUUGUGAACUUUGUGAACUUUAAGCAGCUAGAUUUUUACUUUAUUUUAUGUUACUUUUAUAUUUUAUUGUGAAUAUCCUCUUAUCCUUGAACCGUCAGACAGUCGUGCAAUACAUUUCACUGCAUAUUAUAACAUGUAUGUUCAUGUAUGUGACAGAUAAAGUUUGAAUUUGAAUUAUUUGUUGGUAAUAUUAUACGGAUAAGAUUUUAUUCCCUUCAUGUUUUUCUCGAGUAAGUCCAUUAGUGUUAACAAAAGAGACCAAUAAACCUGUUUGUACAUUUCCUAUCAAUCAGGCCAAUUCCUCGAUAAUGAAAUCAUACUUUGAGUCAAAUUUGGAUUUUUAGAAUUUGUGUUUAUAGUUAAUGUUCUAAAUUGAUCUAAUAACCAGCUCAAAUUCAUUCUGACGUACAACAGUGAUGUAUUUGCUUAAAACAUUCACAUAUCUGUACUAUUCUCCUUUAUCAUUUUAGUAACAUAGAAUUAAUGUAAAUAUAAAGUUUUGUUUAAAAUGUAAGAGUUGUUCCCCAAGCUGUAACUGAGGAGAAAAUGUUUGUUAAAUUAAAGAAGUUGAUUAUGAAAAUGUUGACAGGAAACUUCCCAACAAAAUGGUAAGACUGUCAGACUUUGAUUUGACAAAAUAUUCCAUAAACUCUGAAUUCUGUUUGAAUUAGAAUUUUAUUGA
rnacentral:lncRNA from 1 species